rnacentral:lncRNA from 1 species
AGCUUUUGGCAGUUUCUGGUGGAGGCCAGCUCUCCUUGUCAUCUACCUUGGCCUGGGAAGCCUGUUCCCCUCUGCAGGGGAUGAGCUCAGGGCUACACCUUUCCUUCCAGGCUCUCAUGGUGUGGUCCAGGCUCCAUUUCUUUCUCUUUGAACCUCACUUCAACAUGAUUAGAGUGACUGAAAUUUAGAACCAUUCAGCCUUCUGAAAUGCUUACAGUCAUGAUCUAAGGGCGUGACUAUGACUUUGAUAGGGAGGUAAAUAACAAAGCCAGUGUUGUCCUGGCCAGGAAGCCGUAGAGGUAAGCCACUUUGUCUUUACAUCUAAGCACCCUGCCCUGCACCCAGUUCAGUAAGUAGUGAUGUCGAGUCUUGCCCCAGUUUAUCUCCCAGGGAUAUUAGAAUAAACACAUUUGGAAACUAAAGAUGCCGUGUAAACACAGUAAAUUUAUCCCUAUUUUUGUUUAACAUCUUAAGGGCUAGAAUUUCCAGCUGUCUCUUCACACAAACUUCUUGCUGAGAGA